rnacentral:rRNA from 1 species
GAUCAUGGCUCAGAGACGAACGCUAGCGGCGGGCUUAACACAUGCAAGUCGAGCGGAGAGCUUCGGCUCUCAGCGGCGAACGGGUGAGUAACACGUAGGUCACGUACCCUUUGAUGGGGAAUAACCGUAGGGAAACCUGGGCUAAUACCGCAUAUGUCCUUCGGGAUGAAAGCCUUCGGGCGUCAGAGGAUCGGCCUGCGGCCCAUUAUUUAAUCCUAGUUGGUAGGGUAAUGGCCUACCAAGGGUACGAUGGGUAGCUGGUCUGAGAGGAUGAUCAGCCACACUGGAACUGAGACACGGUUCAGACUCCUACGGGAGGCAGCAGUGGGGAAUAUUGGACAAUGGGCGAAAGCCUGAUCCAGCCACGCCGCGUGGGUGAUGGAGGCCUUCGGGUUGUAAAGCCCUGUCGGGAGGGACGAAUCAAUGACGGUACCUCCCAAGAAAGCACCGGCUAACUCCGUG